rnacentral:lncRNA from 1 species
UUGGAGCUCUAAAUCGGAUCUAUCCUUGUUGUAACUAGAAUUUUUGAAAUCGGAAAAGUCAUUUCUAGUGUCUAAUCGGCUAAAAGAAGUCUGGAAAUGAUUGUAUGGUUGCCGGUUGCAAAAAGAACAGUUUUCUCUCUUUUCGAGAUGUCGAAACCUAAUGGUUUACAACAAAACUAAUAUUGCCAGAGUGCUUGGGAUGAGAAGGAGUUGGUUUGAUCGGAAAUUAGGAGGCUAAAGUGGCCGGAGAUGGAAGAAAAGAUGAAAGAAUGGCUCAGUAGAUAGAGAAAAUGGUGCCAGUAAAGAAAAGAGAGGACCUUUCAAUAAAGUUUCAGAUAAGUCCCCCUAUAACAUUAUUGCUAUAGUAAUCCAAAUUAAUAUAUAUCUUUAUUUUUUAUUGAAGGG